rnacentral:rRNA from 1 species
GGAAGGGGUGUAUUUAUUAGAUAAAAAACCAAUGCCCUUCGGGGCUCUUUGGUGAUUCAUGAUAACUUUACGGAUCGCAUAGCCUUGCGCUGGCGACGGUUCAUUCAAAUUUCUGCCCUAUCAACUUUCGAUGGUAAGGUAUUGGCUUACCAUGGUUUCAACGGGUAACGGGGAAUUAGGGUUCGAUUCCGGAGAGGGAGCCUGAGAAACGGCUACCACAUCCAAGGAAGGCAGCAGGCGCGCAAAUUACCCAAUCCCGACACGGGGAGGUAGUGACAAUAAAUACUGAUACAGGGCUCUUUUGGGUCUUGUAAUUGGAAUGAGUACAAUUUAAACCUCUUAACGAGGAACAAUUGGAGGGCAAGUCUGGUGCCAGCAGCCGCGGUAAUUCCAGCUCCAAUAGCGUAUAUUAAAGUUGUUGCAGUUAAAAAGCUCGUAGUUGAAACUUGGGCCUGGCUGGCGGGUCCGCCUCACCGCGUGCACUCGUCCGGCCGGGCCUUCCUUCUGAAGAACCUCAUGCCCUUCACUGGGCGUGUUGGGGAAUCAGGACUUUUACUUUGAAAAAAUUAGAGUGUUCAAAGCA